GAAAAUUGUAACUAACUUCUCACUGAAAUCAAAAUUCUGGUACAACUCAAUUUUUACUACUGAAAGUAAGAUCUAACUUUCAGCAUUUAUACAAUUGAGUCUAAAAAAUGAAAAUUCAAAUGCAAGCUAAAUUAAACCUAAAGUCAAAUUGACUCCUAAUCUUACUUUUUCAUCAUCCUCAAGAUACUUCAUAUGCAUUAUGCCAUGCCAAACCUACAUGAACCAUGCUUCAUAUCAAGCCUAACAAUCAACCCUGCAACAAUAAGAAUUGUCAGCAUAUACUCAAGCAUGUUAGGCCAUGAUACAUCUCAACAAACAUUUCACACUUGCACAAAUACAAGUCAAACCCAUGACGUUCAAUGCACACACAUACAUACUACACAUUCAGCAUGCCUAACACAUACACAUGCAAUGCAACACCAACCUUCAAUUUCUAAAUUUUCUUAUGCAAACUGAUACCAAUUAUUUCUAGCCUAAAACAUACUAACUGUUUUUUAUAAAGGGUUCAAUUAAUCAAUUCAACUAACUUCUAAUCAAGUAACUUCAAACUGACUUCUAACUCUCCUAACAUCAACUCAACUAGCAUUUCCCUUUGUGAUUCUACCAACAUCUCUAAUCAAUUGACAACUAAAAUCCUAACUAUUUUUAACCUAAAUUGAUUUUAACUAACACACUAACCAUUUCCAACCAACCAAAUCCUAAUUUCUAAUACAGUUCAACUCAAUUCCAUAACUAACCUAACAUCCACUAACAGUUAAUAAAAACCACUAACUAUCAAAUUCCAAAGUUCUAACAUCAUAAUAGUUCAAACUUCUAACUGAUGUUAACAUAAUAAGCAACUAACAUUCAUUAACACUAACCAAUUACCAUAACAGUUCAUUAACUCAUAUAUUUAAUUCCACAUUAAACAAUCCAACAUCUCCUAACUAACAUACACAAACCAAUUCAAAAUAAAUUCUAUAACAAUUCCUACUAACUAAUUCCAUAAUAACCCUAACAACCCUAACAUAACUCACUAUCACAAUUCACUUCAACUAACACGUAAUUCUGGAAUUAGCUAACUAAUUUUCCCUAACUCAACUCACUAACAUUCUAUUAACAGUUCAACAUAAGCUCUUAACUUCUAACCGAUUAAAGCUAGUCGUUCUCUCUAAACAUUCCUAACUGUCAAACUUCAAACUAAACUAACUGUCAACCAACACUAUUAAUCUCAUAACCAACUUUGCUCAUGAACUCAAUUAACCAUAACACCUGACCUAACUCCUAACUGAAUUUCCCUAGCUCCCGAAUUCGGUUGGUUUCAAUUCAUCUAUAUAAACUACAUUCUCCUCUAUAACGAUCUUCAACCACUCACUCUGCAAAUCCAAUAUGAAAUCACCCUCUGCAAAUUCAAUCUCUAUUCUCCCUCACCAAUACUGAAUGCUCAAGAAUCUUCCAUUAUUGAGAAAACUUCACAUUGAAGUUUGCUUCAACUGAGCUCAGCCUCACUCCUCUACACUCUGCACACACUCUACUUUCCACCCAUCAGCAAUAACAACACAACAAUUUCAGAUUCCUACAGAUUGAGAUUCUGAAGAAGAAAAAGAAGGAAGAACAAGAACACCAAUGAUUCAAGCAGCUUCAAACUCCCCCAGGUAUCAACAUCUCCAACAAUAAGAGCAACUACUUCAGACACAGUUGGGUGAUUGUAUAUCCUUCCAUUAGUACUUCUCUCAUAAAUUAGACAAAGUUUUAGGUCAGAAACAUUUCCUUCACACAGUUUAUCCCUCGCCAUUCAAAAAUAUUGAGCAUGGACAUUAUGUUCAUAUAACAUCUCAGAGAGUUUUCUCAAUGUUAACAUCAACUUUAUUUCUUGUCCUACAUUAAAAUGAACAGUUGUGCAAAGAAUGGAUUUUGACCGGGCAUCGGUAACAUGCUUCCUAUCCAAUGACAUAAUUGACCUUGAAUAUGAAAAUUGGGAGGUCCUCUACCAUUGUUAAAUUGAUUGUCCAUUUUAGCACCAGGAGACGUAAAUGCAAAUAUCAUGUUGUAACUACGAAUUUGUUGUUGGAAUUGUUUUGAUUCAUUUGAGUUCUGGUGAAACAACAUCUCCUGUAAAACUUGAGGUGGUGUUUUUAACAAAGGAAUUUGAAUCUUUCCUUCCCCACAUCACAUGGAAAAUUUAGGAUUAGUUGCAUCCCGAAAUUUGUAUUUCCUCUCUUGAUACCACAUAUUUGCACCAUAAUACUGACAUCAAAUGAUUGGAUCUCAUAUAUUAUAAUACUCUCCUAAAUUUAAAAAUCAAAGAAGGAUGUAACAUCAGUACGCGGGGAUUUAUAAAUGUGCAUUUUCAAUAGCAACUUAGUUUUAUAAAAAUACCAUUAGUUUGCAUAUCUUCAUUCUAAUCAUAGUCGUUUUCCUCAUCCAUAAUCGAAAAUGUAUCCUAUUGUUUCCUUCUAAAACAAUUUUUUUUAUCUUGACUAUAAAUAUUUAUGUGCUUAAAAUAUAAGGUUACAUACUGGGUAAAUAGUUAUAUACCUUCAUUAUCACCCUUCAUAUGAUCGUCUGCACUAUCAUCUUCAAAAAGUUCGUUGAUUUGCGAAUUUGGUAAUUGGGGACUAUUUGAAGAUGUUGAAGCUACAUUACAAAAUACAAUAUUGAAUAUUCUUUUUAAAUUGACUCCUAGUUUACUGAUGUUCUCGCGUGAUACCCUUUUUGAUAUGAUAUUAACAGUCGUACUUGGCAAGAUGUUUAAGACUGAGUUAAGCAGAUUGUGUUGAACAAAACUUGUUAUACAUUUGUUGUGACUUGGAAUGUUUGGAGAAAUUUCUGAUAGUGGAAAUCUUAUACACGAUACUUCUUUAUCAGGAAUUAUAUCAGAAGGUGAAGAAUUUUCUUUGUGCAUUGACUUCAAUCUCUUUGCUCUCUUCUGAUCCAAUAUACUCUUUCUAUGCAAUCUAGCUAAUCUUGCUCUUUUCUUCUUAAGAAUAUUAUUGAAGUGAUAAUGUUCAUCCACCUUAUCUAUAUAUCCAUUGGCUAAUCAAAAAUAGUUUUUCAUAAUUAUACUACAAAAGUUUAAUCCUAUUGUACCAUGAAAAUCCAAAAGCAAAUCAAAGUCUAUAUACAUUACACACACAUGUGUGUGUGUUAAGGCAUGGAAAUUUGGUGGUAAGACAUUAAUAUUGCACAAUAUUUAAAAAAUCCCUUACAAAUUAGUCAGUCUAAUAAAGUGUCAAUUAAGUAAUUACAAUCAUUUCCACAUGAUACAUAAACUGUAGAGUCAUUCAUUAAUGCUAACAAUGACAUGUGAAAUUAAAACAACCUCAAAGCAUCAUAUAUGUAGUUAAGCAUGCUACAAGUAAUCAUUAUUCUUCAUUAGGAAUGAAUAAUAAUUAAUUUCACGCAUAGAAACAAAACAUGACAAUGGUUGCAUAAUGAUUGCAAUGGCUUAAUAUUAACUUAUGGCUCUUGAGGUUCCAACCAAAUAAUUAUUUUUUGAGAUUGUAUUUGUUUUAAAUUAUGCUUAAUGUAGAUGUAGAAAAUAGGAUCCAAUAGUAUGGUAGUUUGCAUCAAUUGAAAAUUUUCUAAUAUGAGUUUUAUUUUAAAGUAUUAUUAUUUGAGAAAAAUAGGAAAUUAAAUUAAUAACAUAGUGAAAAAUUACUCAAUUUAAAAAAAAACUAAUUUUGUUGUCUACAAUACUAAAUCUUAGUAAAUAUGGAACAAUACAUUUUAAGUUGUUAAUAUAUGAAACAUACAUACUUAGAUGCAGUUGCAUAUAUAUUACAUGGACAUUAUGAAAUAUACAUGGAUGUUAUGUAAUAUAAAUGGAUAUUUUAAAGUUAGAUAUAUAAAUUGUAAUGCACAUGAAGAUUUAUAUUGAAAAAUUAUUUCAAUAUUUAAAUAUAGGAAGAUGAAUUUGUAAAAGUCCCUUAAGUCAAGUCCCACAUUGUAUGUUAGUUAAAAAAAUUCCUUAGUCCCACAUUGCUUAGGUGAGAUAUAUUUCCUUCCUCACUUUAUUAUAUAAGAAAAAUCCUCGUUUCAUUCCAAAAUACACCAAAAACUUAUUUUGAGUUUUUUCUUCCUCAUUCUCAUAACUCCGUGUCUUUCGAAUUGUCGAAGCGCCAACUUCUCCCCCUUUCUUUCUACUCGUUGAAUUUUCCGAGUAUUUUCUUGAAUUCUCUUUAGAGAAUUAUAUUAAUUUAUCCUCGUAUGAGUUGGGAAAUUACAAGUAUUAAUUUUUGAAUUCUCUUUGGAGAAUUUUUUGAGUUUCUCUUGGUUUGAGAAAUUAUUAUGACUGGUUGUUAUACUAGGUACUAUGAAUGGUAUUUAUACCAUAUUCGAACGGUCUUUGUAUCAUUCCGUGUAAGUAGUAAUCGUACAAUAUAGAACUGAACUAUUUUAUCCUAGAAGUGGUGCAAUAGUUCGACUGUUUUGCAUAACUUUGGGCAGUGCUAUGAAACGUCUUAAAGAGAGCGACCUAGUACGCGACUUGACCCGAUAAUUUCUUUUGUGUCUAAUCGUGAAACAAUAAUUUAGGUAUACAUUAUUUUUAUUAAUAAAGGUUAUCAAACGAGGUUGGUAGGUAA